UACGAAGGGGGCUAGCGUUGUUCGGAAUCACUGGGCGUAAAGCGCACGUAGGCGGAUCUUUAAGUCAGAGGUGAAAUCCCAAGGCUCAACCUUGGAACUGCCUUUGAUACUGGGGAUCUUGAGUCCGGGAGAGGUGAGUGGAACUGCGAGUGUAGAGGUGAAAUUCGUAGAUAUUCGCAAGAACACCAGUGGCGAAGGCGGCUCACUGGCCCGGUACUGACGCUGAGGUGGCGAAAGCG
rnacentral:rRNA from 1 species